CUUAUGAGCCGGUACUUUUUAAUGAUUCGGUCAAAACAAUUCGCGAACCGGUCGUAAAUAACUGUACUGUUUUUAAGAGAGAACAUCUGUUUGGGAAUAUAAACCUCAAAGGGCCUCAAACCCUGAGGCACCAAUGGCCUCCAUCUUGGAUCUGCAGGAGAAGUGCCAUCUCAAGAAGCUGGACAUGCUAAAGGACCAGCAUGUCCUCUUGAGGGGGAGGAAGAUGAGCAAUGUGCUAUGGAAAGCUGGCCAAGGAGCUCUUGAAAUCUCUGCUGCUGAGGAGUCAGUCUGAGGUCAAAAUGCUAUCCCAGGAAUUCUUGUUGCUGAUGGUGUCUUUGUAUCAAUGGGACCUACCCACAGUGGGACAACAAUGACAACCUCCCAUGCCUUCCAGUGACACUGCCCCAGUCCUGACUACACACAAGGUUAGAAUCUGUCUACGCAACAUCAAUCCAUGGAAAGCGGCCGGCCCGGACGGAGUACUGUGUAGGGUGCUAAAGGACUGUGCGGGAGAGCUGGCAGAAGUCUUCACCACAAUCUAUACAUCUCGCUGUCAUCAGCUUGGGUUCCAGCAUGCUUCAGAAGUGCCACAUUAGUUCCAGUUCCAAAAAUGUCCAGGAUAACAUGCCUAAAUGAUUACAGGCCUGUGGUGCUUACACUCAUACCGGCUAAAUGUCUGGAAAGAUUAGUAAUCAAACACAUCAAAAAUGCCAUACCACCCACACUGGGCCAGUGUCAAUUUGCUUACAGAGAAAACAGGUCAACAGAAGAUGCCAUUUCUAUUGCAAUCUACACCCUGCUUCAGCAUCUAGAGCACAAGAACACCUAUGCAAGGCUGCUCUUUGUUGACUUCAGCUCGGCCUUUAACACAAUUUGGCCAAACAAACUUACAGCUAAACUGUACUCACUGGGAUUAAACACCUCACUAUGCAAUUGGAUUUUGGACUUCCUAACCAAUCACUCACAGUAUGUGAGAGUUGGUGGGCACAUUUCAUCCACCUUAGUUAUCAACACCGGAGCCCCCCCAAGAAAUGUGUGCUUAGCCCAUUACACUACACGCUCUUCACGCAUGACUGCCUAGCCUCUUUGUCAUCUAAUCUCAUUAAAUUUGCUGAUGACACUACAGUGUUAGGACUUAUCACCAAUAAUAAUGAGACUGCAUAUAGAAAGGAGGUUGAACAUCUGGCAACAUUGUGUAAGGAGCACAACCUAGCCCUUAAUACCAAGAAGACCAAGGAAGUGAUUGUGGAUUUUAGGAAAAAGGGACAACUUAACCACACUCCACUUUUCAUUGGAAGCGAGGAGGUACAAUGAGUUCCUAGCUUUAAGUUCCUGGGACUGAUUGUGACUAAGAACCUCUCCUGGGGCAUUAACACCAGUUCAGCUGUUGAAAAGGACCAACAGCGCCUCUUCUACCUGAGGAAAUUGAGGAGAGCUUAACUUCCUAAGCAGCUUCUGGUGAAUUUCUACCACUGUGCUAUUGAGAGCGUGCUGAACUAUGGGCACUUGGUGUGGUUUUCCAGCUUGCACUAAGGCCGAACAGCAGGCACUCCAGAGGGUGGUGAGGACACCGCGGAAAAUCAUCGGAACCAACCUCCUAGAGAUUAACACCGUCUACACCACCCACUGUCUGAGGAGAGUGCAUAACAUCCUGAGAGAUCAGUCGCACCCAGCACAUCACCUGUUCCACCUGCUGCCCUCAGGGAGACGGUACUGGGCCAUUAAAGCCAGAACCACCAGACUGGCCCGCAGUUUUUAUCCCAAUGUAGUGAGACUGUUGAACGAACAUUUGUCCAAUUUACACCCAGCCCAUCACAUACACCACACUUCUUUUUCUACAUAACUGCAGUAGCUGGGAACUGGAGUAUGCAUUGCUACAGUAUUUAUGCCACAAUCUUAAUUAUACACUGCUCAUAAAAAUUAAAGGAACACUUAUUAAUCAGAGAAUAGCAUCAAGUCAGUUAAACUCCUGGGAUAUUGAUCUGGUCAGUUAAGUAGCAGAGGGGGUUGUUAAUCAGUUUCAGCUCCUUUGGUGUUAAUGAAAUUAACAGCAGGUGCACUAGAUGGGCAACAAUGAGACGACCCCCAAACAGGAAUGGUUUUACAGGCCACUGACAUUUUUCCCUACUCAUGUUUUCUGACUGUUUUCACUAGUUUUGCAUUUGGCUAGGGUCAGUGUCACUACUGGUAGCAUGAGGCGAUACCUGGACCCUACAGAGGUUGCACAGGCAGUCCAACUCCUCCAGGAUGGCACAUCAAUACGUGCCAUUGCCAGAAGGUUUGCUGUGUCUCCCAGCACAUUCUCAAGAGCAUGGAGGAGAUUCCAGACAGGGAGAGACAGGCAGUUACUCUAGGAGAGCUGGACAGGGCCGUAGAAGGUCCUUAACCCAUCAGCAUGACCGGUAUCUGCUCCUUUGUGCAAGGAGUAACAGGAUGAGCACUGCCAGAGCCCUACAAAAAGACCUCCAGCAGGCCACUGGUGUGAAUGUCUAUGAUCAAACAAUCAGAAACAGACUUCAUGAGGGUGGACUGAGGGCCCGACAUCCUCUAGUGGGCCCUGUGCUCACUGCCCGGCACUGUGGAGCUUGAUUGGCAUUUGCCAUUGAACACCAGAAUUGUCAGGCAUGCAUACAAGCACAUGGGGGCCAUACAAACUACUGAGUACCAUUUUGAGUUGCUGCAGUGAAAUUUCAGCAAAAUGAACUAGCCUGCUGCAUCAUUUUUUUCACUUUGAUUUUCAGGGUGUCUUUGAAUUCAGUCCUCUGUAGGUUGAUAAUUUUCAUUUCCAAAAUUUUUUACAUUGUAGGUUUCUCUAAUGUUAUCUUGUUGUUGUUUAUAACAAUGACA